rnacentral:rRNA from 1 species
GGUCAAGUGAAGAAGCGCAUACGGUGGAUGCCUUGGCAGUCAGAGGCGAUGAAAGACGUGGUAGCCUGCGAUAAGCUUCGGGGAGUCGGCAAACAGACUUUGAUCCGGAGAUCUCUGAAUGGGGGAACCCACUCAGCAUAAGCUGAGUAUCUUGUACUGAAUACAUAGGUGCAAGAGGCGAACCAGGGGAACUGAAACAUCUAAGUACCCUGAGGAAAAGAAAUCAACCGAGAUUCCCUUAGUAGUGGCGAGCGAACGGGGACUAGCCCUUAAGUGGCUUUGAGAUUAGCGGAACGCUCUGGAAAGUGCGGCCAUAGUGGGUGAUAGCCCUGUACGCGAAAAUCUCUUAGUCAUGAAAUCGAGUAGGACGGAGCACGAGAAACUUUGUCUGAAUAUGGGGGGACCAUCCUCCAAGGCUAAAUACUACUGACUGACCGAUAGUGAACCAGUACCGUGAGGGAAAGGCGAAAAGAACCCCGGAGAGGGAGUGAAAUCGGAUGACCUGUGGAUCGGAGUGAAAGGCUAAUCAAGCUCGGAGAUAGCUGGUUCUCCUCGAAAGCUAUUUAGGUAGCGCCUCAUGUAUCACUGUAGGGGGUAGAGCACUGUUUCGGCUAGGGGGUCAUCCCGACUUACCAAACCGAUGCAAACUCCGAAUACCUACAAGUGCCGAGCAUGGGAGACACACGGCGGGUGCUAACGUCCGUCGUGAAAAGGGAAACAACCCAGACCGUCAGCUAAGGUCCCAAAGUCAUGGUUAAGUGGGAAACGAUGUGGGAAGGCUUAGACAGCUAGGAGGUUGGCUUAGAAGCAGCCACCCUUUAAAGAAAGCGUAAUAGCUCACUAGUCGAGUCGGCCUGCGCGGAAGAUGUAACGGGGCUCAAACCAUGCACCGAAGCUACGGGUAUCACUUAGGUGAUGCGGUAGAGGAGCGUUCUGUAAGCCUGUGAAGGUGAGUUGAGAAGCUUGCUGGAGGUAUCAGAAGUGCGAAUGCUGACAUGAGUAACGACAAUGGGAGUGAAAAACUCCCACGCCGAAAGACCAAGGUUUCCUGCGCAACGUUAAUCGACGCAGGGUUAGUCGGUCCCUAAGGCGAGGCUGAAAAGCGUAGUCGAUGGAAAACAGGUUAAUAUUCCUGUACUUCUAGUUAUUGCGAUGGAGGGACGGAGAAGGCUAGGCCAGCUUGGCGUUGGUUGUCCAAGUUUAAGGUGGUAGGCUGAGAUCUUAGGUAAAUCCGGGAUCUUAAGGCCGAGAGCUGAUGACGAGUUGCCUUUAGGCGACGAAGUGGUUGAUGCCAUGCUUCCAAGAAAAGCUUCUAAGCUUCAGAUAACUAGGAACCGUACCCCAAACCGACACAGGUGGUUGGGUAGAGAAUACCAAGGCGCUUGAGAGAACUCGGGUGAAGGAACUAGGCAAAAUGGCACCGUAACUUCGGGAGAAGGUGCGCCGGUGAGGGUGAAGGACUUGCUCCGUAAGCUCAUGCCGGUCGAAGAUACCAGGCCGCUGCGACUGUUUAUUAAAAACACAGCACUCUGCAAACACGAAAGUGGACGUAUAGGGUGUGACGCCUGCCCGGUGCCGGAAGGUUAAUUGAUGGGGUUAGCUAACGCGAAGCUCUUGAUCGAAGCCCCGGUAAACGGCGGCCGUAACUAUAACGGUCCUAAGGUAGCGAAAUUCCUUGUCGGGUAAGUUCCGACCUGCACGAAUGGCGUAACGAUGGCGGCGCUGUCUCCACCCGAGACUCAGUGAAAUUGAAAUCGCUGUGAAGAUGCAGUGUAUCCGCGGCUAGACGGAAAGACCCCGUGAACCUUUACUAUAGCUUUGCACUGGACUUUGAAUUUGCUUGUGUAGGAUAGGUGGGAGGCUUUGAAGCGUGGACGCCAGUUCGCGUGGAGCCAUCCUUGAAAUACCACCCUGGCAACUUUGAGGUUCUAACUCAGGUCCGUUAUCCGGAUCGAGGACAGUGUAUGGUGGGUAGUUUGACUGGGGCGGUCUCCUCCUAAAGAGUAACGGAGGAGUACGAAGGUGCGCUCAGACCGGUCGGAAAUCGGUCGUAGAGUAUAAAGGCAAAAGCGCGCUUGACUGCGAGACAGACACGUCGAGCAGGUACGAAAGUAGGUCUUAGUGAUCCGGUGGUUCUGUAUGGAAGGGCCAUCGCUCAACGGAUAAAAGGUACUCCGGGGAUAACAGGCUGAUACCGCCCAAGAGUUCAUAUCGACGGCGGUGUUUGGCACCUCGAUGUCGGCUCAUCACAUCCUGGGGCUGAAGCCGGUCCCAAGGGUAUGGCUGUUCGCCAUUUAAAGUGGUACGCGAGCUGGGUUUAGAACGUCGUGAGACAGUUCGGUCCCUAUCUGCCGUGGACGUUUGAGAUUUGAGAGGGGCUGCUCCUAGUACGAGAGGACCGGAGUGGACGAACCUCUGGUGUUCCGGUUGUCACGCCAGUGGCAUUGCCGGGUAGCUAUGUUCGGAAGAGAUAACCGCUGAAAGCAUCUAAGCGGGAAACUUGCCUCAAGAUGAGAUCUCACUGGAGCCUUGAGCUCCCUGAAGGGCCGUCGAAGACUACGACGUUGAUAGGUUGGGUGUGUAAGCGCUGUGAGGCGUUGAGCUAACCAAUACUAAUUGCCCGUGAGGCUUGACCAU